CCCCAAACCCACAACAACCCCAAACCCACAACAACUCCAAACCCGCAACAACCCCAAACCCGCAACAACCCCAAACCCACAACUCCAAACCCGCAACAACCCCCACAACAACCCCAAACCCACAACAACUCCAAACCCGCAACAACCCCAAACCCGCAAGAACUCCAAACCCGCAACAACCCCAAACCUACAACAACCCCAAACCCACAACAACCCCAAACCCGCAACAACCCCAAACCCACAAUCCCAUACGCCAGAUCCAGACCCCCAGACCCAAAACCUCUGAUCAGACCCCAGAUCCAGAAGCCCCGACUCCAGACCCCAAACCCAGAACUCCAUACGUCAGAUCCAGACCCCAAACACAGAACCCCAGACCCCAUACCCACAACCCCAGACCUCAUAUCCAGAAACCCAGACCAGAUUCCACAUCCAGACUCCAGACCCCAAACCUCGAACCCCAGACCCCAAACCCGAAACCUCAGACCAGAUCCCAGAUCCAGAACCCUACACUGCAGACCCCAAACCCUGAGCUCCAUAUGCCAGAUCCCGAUUCCAGACCUCACACCCCAGACCCCAAACCCAGAAGCCCAGACUUCAGAUCCAAAAACCCAGACCAGAUUCCACAUCCAAAACCUCAGACUCCAGACCCCAAACCCAGAGCUCCAUUUGUCAGACCUGAUCCCAGACCUCAAAUCCCAGACCCCAAACCCAGAACCCCAGACCUCAAACCCCAGACCCCAUACUCAGACCCCAAACCCAGAACCCCAGACCUCAAACCCCAGACCUCGAACUCCAGACCCCAUAUUCAGAUCCCAAACCCAGACCCCAGAUCCAGAACCCUACACUCCAGACCCCAAACCCAGAAUUCCAUUUGCCAGAUCCAGACCCCAGACCUCAAAACCCAGACCCCAAACCCAGAACCCCAGACCCUAUACCCAGAAUCUCAUCCCAGACCCUAGAUCCAGAAGCCCAGACUUCAGACCCCAAACCCAGAACUCCAUAUGUCAGAUCCAGACCUUGAACCCCAAACCCCAAACCCAGAACCCCAGACCUCAAACCCCAGACCCCAUACCCAGAACCCAUACUCAGACCCCAAACCCAGACCCCAGAUCCAGAAGCCCACACUCCAGACCCCAAACCCAGAGCUCCAUUUGCCAGAUCCAGACCCCCAGACCUCAAAACCCAGACCCCAAACCCAGAACCCCAGACCCCAUACCCAGAAUCUCAUCCCAGACCCCAUAUCCAGAAGCCCAGACUCCAGACCCCAUACCCAGAACUCCAUAUCUCAGAUCCAGACCCCAUAUCCAGAACCCCAGAACGCAAACCCAAAACCUCAGACCAGGCCCUAUAUCCAGAACCCCAGACUCCAGACCUCAAACCCAGAGCUCCAUAUGCCAGAUCCAGACCCCCAGACCUCAAAUCCCAGACCCCAAACCCAGAACCCCAGACCUCAUACCCAGAAUCUCAUCCCAGACCCCAGAUCCAGAACCCUACACUCCAGACCCCAAACCCAGAGCUCCAUUUGCCAGAUCCAGACCCCAGACCCAGAACCCCAGACCCGUACCUCAAACCCACACCCUCAGACCCCAAACCCAGAACCCCACAGCUGGACCCAGACCCCAUGGAUGUCACCCUGAGGGCUCCCUGCCCCACUGGGGGUCCAACUCCUCCACUGCCCCC
rnacentral:lncRNA from 1 species